UACGUAGGGUGCGAGCGUUAAUCGGAAUUACUGGGCGUAAAGCGUGCGCAGGCGGUUAUGUAAGACAGGAUGUGAAAUCCCCGGGCUUAACCUGGGAACUGCAUUUGUGACUGCAUAGCUAGAGUACGGUAGAGGGGGAUGGAAUUCCGCGUGUAGCAGUGAAAUGCGUAGAUAUGACGGAGGAACACCGAUGGCGAAGGCAAUCCCCUGGACCUGUACUCGACG
rnacentral:rRNA from 1 species